rnacentral:rRNA from 1 species
CGGCGACCGGCGCACGGGUGAGUAACACGUAUCCAACCUGCCGAUGACUCGGGGAUAGCCUUUCGAAAGAAAGAUUAAUACCCGAUGGCAUAGUUCUUCCGCAUGGUAGAACUAUUAAAGAAUUUCGGUCAUCGAUGGGGAUGCGUUCCAUUAGCUUGUUGGCGGGGUAACGGCCCACCAAGGCAUCGAUGGAUAGGGGUUCUGAGAGGAAGGUCCCCCACAUUGGAACUGAGACACGGUCCAAACUCCUACGGAAGGCAGCAG